GGGUUGUAAGUUGAAAUUUGCUAUCGUAAAUGUUAAAUGCCUUUGCGGGAUGCAUGGGGGAUCAAUGCUUAUUUAGUUUUCAUUUUGUUUAAGUAGUUUUUCUUAUUCCACUGUUGGUUAUAUCUGAUAGUAUAGGUAAUGCAGUAUGCACAGUUAUGUCUGAUAGUAGAGGUAAUGCAGUAUGCACGGUUAUGUCUGAUAGUAGAGGUAAUGCAGUAUGCACAGUCAUGUCUGAUACGAGAGGUAAUGCAGUAUGCAUGGUAUGAAAACCAAUCUCACACAUGGAGACGACAAGAUUGUGUUGUGUAAUAGCAAAGCAGUCCUCUAUUGCAGGUGAACUGUCCUUUUUAUUAAGGCUACUCUCCUGUAGUAGAACCUCCCAACCUGAAGGCGGUGCUGUGGUACAGGUCCUGGAUGCUAGAAUGUUCCGGCUUUCAAGUUAAUGGGGAUUCAAUUUCAGGUCAAGGCCAAAUAGGUAUGUACAAAAUGUACAAAAUGUAAAAUAGAAUAAAAAUGGUUGUCCAAUCACACAAACUCAUAAUAGUAAGUCGGACACGUGAAAGUAACCUCUGCUUCCUCUCCUUGUCCUCCCAUGUGUUUAGCCAAGUGCAAGGGGGUCAGAGGCGGACUGGCAAUAGAGCGAUUCAGGCCAAGAUGGGCUCGUCCGUCUUUAGCCCAGGUGGCCUGGCUAAAUUGGGGUAUAUCGUAGAAUAAUCAUAACGGGUGCUAAAGCAAAAACAAUUACCUGUGUGGAAGCUUCAAGGAAUUAAUGGGCCAGUAUGUUAAAUGCCAGGGCUGAAUUCUGGUCCCAGUCCGCCCCUGAAGGGUGGUGUUUGUCAGAGUCCAGGUUCAGACUUAUAUCUACAGUUCCCGCCAUGUCUCCUGUCCCCAGUAAAUAGAAUCAACUACAUUUAAAUUCAAACUGUUAAUAUAGCUCUCUGAAAUGACAAGUCCAAGACUGAAUGCUGUUUUUAUUUCAGUCGAUCAUCUCCGAUAGUCUUUUGAAUUACUGUUUUGGCCGUUAAAGAAUUUUGUGCCUUUUUUUUGUUUCUGUAUUUUUUGGGGGGACCGACUGUUCUGUCAUUAAAAUGUAGUGUAUGAA